rfam:Myotis lucifugus cont2.9533, whole genome shotgun sequence.
GGUAGUUCUCGGGUGACAUACCUUGGAAUCAGGCUCCUUCCUUUCUGGUUCCAGGUGCAUCACCUGAGAACCUCA